UCUGUCCUCAAAAAGGUAUACUAGUGAUGGGUCCAGCAACACCGAUGCGUUGGCGCAUGCAUCGAGCUCAUAGAGCGAAACCCUGUGUCAGUGUGUGUAUCGCCUUGCGAAAGUCACGUGACCGAUACAGGAACUGUUUCGAACUGACACUGACGCACCAAAGUGGCCAAGCUGUGUUUAUAAGGAAGCGUAUGUCAACAG